AUUGAACGCUGGCGGCAGGCCUAACACAUGCAAGUCGAGCGGAUGAAGGGAGCUUGCUCCUGGAUUCAGCGGCGGACGGGUGAGUAAUGCCUAGGAAUCUGCCUGGUAGUGGGGGAUAACGUCCGGAAACGGGCGCUAAUACCGCAUACGUCCUGAGGGAGAAAGUGGGGGAUCUUCGGACCUCACGCUAUCAGAUGAGCCUAGGUCGGAUUAGCUAGUUGGUGGGGUAAAGGCCUACCAAGGCGACGAUCCGUAACUGGUCUGAGAGGAUGAUCAGUCACACUGGAACUGUGACACGGUCCAGACUCCUACGGGAGGCAGCAGUGGGGAAUAUUGGACAAUGGGCGAAAGCCUGAUCCAGUCAUGCCGCGUGUGUGAAGAAGGUCUUCGGAUUGUAAAGCACUUUAAGUUGGGAGGAAGGGCAGUAAGUUAAUACCUUGCUGUUUUGACGUUACCAACAGAAUAAGCACCGGCUAACUUCGUG
rnacentral:rRNA from 1 species